rnacentral:rRNA from 1 species
GACGAACGCUGGCGGCGUGCCUAAUACAUGCCAGUAGAACGCUGAAGGAGGAGCUUGCUUCUCUGGAUGAGUUGCGAACGGGUGAGUAACGCGUAGGUAACCUGCCUGGUAGCGGGGGAUAACUAUUGGAAACGAUAGCUAAUACCGCAUAAUAGUAGAUGUUGCAUGACAUUUGCUUAAAAGGUGCAAUUGCAUCACUACCAGAUGGACCUGCGUUGUAUUAGCUAGUUGGUGGGGUAACGGCUCACCAAGGCGACGAUACAUAGCCGACCUGAGAGGGUGAUCGGCCUCACUGGGACUGAGACACGGCCCAGACUCCUACGGGAGGCAGCAGUAGGGAAUCUUCGGCAAUGGACGGAAGUCUGACCGAGCAACGCCGCGUGAGUGAAGAAGGGUUUCGGAUCGUAAAGCUCUGUUGUAAGAGAAGAACGAGUGUGAGAGUGGAAAGUUCACACUGUGACGGUAUCUUACCAGAAAGGGACGGCUAACUACGUG